CUUACUUUUGGAAUUUCGGAAGAGUGAAGACAGGAAGCAGAAGCAGAAGUCAAGAAAACGUCCUUGGCUUCAAGUUAGAAGGCCAAAAGAACAGAGAAGAAGAGUAAUAUUUCUGUAUGCUGUAAUGGAUGACCUGUGUUGCAAAUACAAUACCAUCUGGCAGAUAUGGCAAUCAGGAGUUACUUCCCUGUGAAGUCUGUGGAAGACGCUUUGCAGCAGAUGUUCUGGAAAGGCAUGGACCAAUAUGUAGAAAACUCUUCAACAAAAAACGUAAACCUUUCAAUUCCUUGAAACAAAGAUUACAGGGCACUGACAUUCCCAUUGUGAGAAAGGCUCCUCAAUCCAAGCCUCAACCUGUGAGGAGAUCUAACUGGAGACAACAACAUGAAGACUUCAUUAAUGCCAUCCGAUCGGCAAAACAGUGUACACUAGCCAUUAAAGAAGGCCGACCUCUCCCACCUCCACCUCCUCCAUCCAUCAGCCCAGAUUAUAUUCAAUGCCCAUAUUGUCUGAGGAGAUUUAAUGAGACUGCAGCCAACCGACAUAUUAAUUUCUGCAAGGGUCAGUCUUCUCGCCGAGUCUUUGAUCCAGCCCAAACAGCAGCCAAGCUGGCAUCGAGAGUACAGGCUAGGGCUCAAAUGAGUCCAAAAAAAGAGCCAACUGUAACCAGUGCCGUGGGAGCCCUGCUGCAGAACAGGGCCCUGGCGGUCCCAAAUGUGGCCCCAACAAGGCCAGGAUUAGCUGUGGACCCUACUUCUGGAGCAAAACUCAGACAAGGACUUGCUAAAUCUUCUAAAAAAGAUUAACUCCUAGAGGCCAGACUGUCUCCCUUUAACUCAUCAGCCUGGAUGGCUGUGUACCCAGGAAUGCCACCUAAGGGGAAGGAAAGGCGGACAGCUGUUUAUAAGCCCAUGAUUCUUCUUGAGACAUAAUGGAGAACAAGGAAAUCAGGUAUGUGUCCUGGAAUGGACUGAAGACUACUAAGCCAUAUAAAAGUAUUUGUGGAAGCUUCUAUGAAUGGAUCUUGGGAGAUUUUGCUAAGGUGAGCCAGUACUCUCCCUCUCCUCGUGCUCUGGCAGAUCACCUUCUCUCGGAGAGGUUAAACUGUACAUUAAGGCUCUACCACGUCAGUUCCACAUACUACAGCCAAGCCCCAGGCCACUUGUCUGCUGCCCGUCAUGGUCCUCGGCAUCACUGGAGCUCCUAGAGGGAAAGGAGACAACGGGGCAGCCUUCAACUGAAACUGGGGCGAGAUGGAGUGGAAGGUGCUCAGAAGGUCUCCA